rfam:Gossypium arboreum cultivar AKA8401 contig_85487_1, whole genome shotgun sequence.
AAAAGUCGUGUGCAAUGAAAAAUGCAAGCACAAUUUAGGGAGGGAGUUUUUAUUCUUUAACUUUUUUUUAUUUAAUUUAAUUUUGAUAAGGAAAUUAUCUACUCCAU